GAUGAACGCUGGCGGCGUGCCUAAUACAUGCAAGUCGAGCGAACGGACGAGAAGCUUGCUUCUCUGAUGUUAGCGGCGGACGGGUGAGUAACACGUGGAUAACCUACCUAUAAGACUGGGAUAACUUCGGGAAACCGGAGCUAAUACCGGAUAAUAUUUUGAACCGCAUGGUUCAAAAGUGAAAGACGGUCUUGCUGUCACUUAUAGAUGGAUCCGCGCUGCAUUAGCUAGUUGGUAAGGUAACGGCUUACCAAGGCAACGAUGCAUAGCCGACCUGAGAGGGUGAUCGGCGACACUGGAACUGAGACACGGUCCAGACUCCUACGGGAGGCAGCAGUAGGGAAUCUUCCGCAAUGGGCGAAAGCCUGACGGAGCAACGCCGCGUGAGUGAUGAAGGUCUUCGGAUCGUAAAACUCUGUUAUGAGGGAAGAACAUAUGUGUAAGUAACUGUGCACAACUUGACGGUACCUAAUCAGAAAGCCACGGCUAACUACGUG
rnacentral:rRNA from 1 species